GGAUUCGAGCAGGAGAGCGGUCGAGGCGUACUGGAGAUCUAAGAUGGUCGAUGGAGUCACAUCGGACGAGGUCAAGGUCGCUCCUAUUUACAAACUGGAGGAGAUCUUCGAUCUGCUGAGGACUUCUCAUGUCAGUAUCGUCAAGUAGGUUUCCGAUUACAUCCUCAAGCAGAUUGAUCACAAGAGCCCCGUUGUCAAGCAAAAGAUGGUCGAUGGAGUCACAUCGGACGAGGUCAAAUUCGCUCCUGUUUACAAACUGGAGGAGAUCUGCGAUCUGCUGAGGACUUCUCAUGUCAGUAUCGUCAAGGAGGUUUCCGAUUACAUCCUCAAGCGGAUUGAUCACAAGAACCCCGUUGUCAAGCAAAAGGUUGUGAUUUUGGUUGUGAUUAACCUCAAAGCCUCAUGCUCUACCUUCUCCUUCUUUUUCUCAUUAAGGCGUUAAAUGGCGACUUAGAGAAUCAUCAUCAAGUUCUCUGCAAGAGGGAAAAAAGGCUGAACCACAUGAUUUAAAAGAUGAUCCUUUAUUUUUGGAGGAAGAGCUGCGGAAUGUUCAUAUUGGAGUUGGAUGUGAUACGUGCGGGCUAAUUUGAUAAAUUGAAAAUGGUUGACAUGGGUGAAAUAUCAUGGAGUGAAGAGGAGGAGCAAAUUGAUAUGGAGAGUUGUUUCUCAUAGUCAGGGAGUGUCACUGAUGGACCAGUCACUAACGCGAUCGAUGGAGAUAAUGGGGUGCUUAAGCUGAAUGAGGAAGAUGAUGAGUAUAUCAUACCGAAGCAUUGGUUCUAUUUGAGCAUUGGCACUCUUUCACUACAGUGUAUGGUUGUUGAUGUUUAUCGGAGUCUUCAUUCUUCUCCAAUGGAAAAAGAUAAGAGGGGGGGAUGCAAAUGUUGUUCAUUCAUCAUAUGGAGCAUCGAAGGAUGAGGUUGAUCGAAUAAUGAAGGAUGGAUUUCGUGUGUGUGUGUGUGUGGAUUGCCUGAGAAUGCUGGCCUCUAUGGCUUUGGUUUGCAUCUUUGUCCAGAGCUUCCCGCUCGCAAAAGCCUUAUUUCCGCACCAAUUAGUGAAGAUGGACUGAAGCAUAUGGUGAUUUGUCAUGUAAUCUUGGGAAGCACAAAGAUGAUACUUCUCGGCUCCUGACAAUCAGGUCCAAGUUCUGGAGAUUUUGAUUCUGGUGUAGAUAACCAGAAAGCUCCUUCAAAGUAUAUUGUCUGCUAUCCAGAUGUCAAGACACAUGUACUGCCUCUAUAUGCGGUUACUGUAAAAAUGGAUCUGAAUUUAGGAGGACCUGUAUAAAGACAAAGCCCAUAGGAAGAUGUCAGUCUGGCAGCACAAUGAUAUUCAAUAAUCAUCACGUGUUGCAUCCAAAAAGUGUAAACGCUUAAUUUUUCAUUUAUGAUUAAUAACAGAUCACAAAGAACAUAACUUCUUUGUUGAUACUCUUCUGGGUGGACUAUAUCAUGAAUCCUUGAUUCCUUCAUUCAGCUCAGAUAAGGGACAUUUGCUCAGUUAAAUUAACAACUACAAUAUCCAGUCCCUGGUUUGUCUAGAUCUAACCCUACUCCUCUCUUCAUUACCCUUACCUACUUAACUUACUGGUCUCCACAUACAUGCCCGAACGUUACACCCUUGUUAUGUUUUGCAUUUGCAUUUAGAUGCUUUGUUGUAUUUUGAAUUACAAAGAAAACUAAAGAGGAACAGCUAUCAGAAUAUGGCACAACAUAUUAGGUUCAAACAGGAGAUAACCUAAAUUAAUUCUGAUAGGAUUUUUCAUAGUGGUGUCAAUGUGCAUCCACCACAAACAGUCAUCCCAGAGACUUAAGAGUUGUUUGGCAAUGGGAUAAAUUAGGGGGUUAAGAAGAGGUACCCCUUCUUUAACUUGUCAAACAUAAAAAUGUGUAAAAUUAAGUUAAAUUAUCUUAUCCAUCUUAAUUGUCACAUGCAAAAAUAAUAAAAAGGUUAACAUAAACUGUCCAUACAGGUUAAAAGAAGUUACCUCUCAAUGAGGGGUUUACUAAUCCACGUCUUUAGACGGAAAUAAUAAAAAGGUUCAUUUUUUUCCAACCAUCAAGCUCCAUGCCCGUGCUCUUCAAAUUUCUGUUCUAAACAAAAAGCUCUUAUGAUAGAGUACACAUGAAGAAAAUUUAUAACAAAGAUACUGGUAUUUUAGUUUUGCAGAAACUUGAAGAGAUUUUUAAGCUUGUGCACAGGUAUCAGGCUCUUUAAUUUUUUUUGUUUUGUUUCUUGUCACUUGGUUAACGUCACUCAUAGAUGGCUGAUAUUAGAUUUGAUUAUCAGUCAUAUGGAAGAGUUAGUAAAUUCGUUGUUGGGCUUCAGUAAAUUUUAUGUUCCCAGCUCUGAGCAUUGCACUAUUUACAGUUUUAUUUUGUUUUGUGGAUUAGGGGGAGGGUGGGUAGGGGGGUAGGGCACAAAUGAUUAUUUGAGGAGGAAUCAGACUGCAGUUUAUUGUUAGUUUGGUUUAUGGUGAUAAUUUGGCUAUAAGUUUGAGUUCAAACGUAACGGAGCAAUAGAGCAUGUUUCUCUGAUUUCAAAGACACGGAUUACUUUUUAGCUAAAGGAUGUGCGUUUAAUUUGCUUUAUUUAUGCAUUUAUCUUCAUCAAUGUUUCAGCAGAGGCCAGAGAUAUAUUUACACGGAAUCCCAUGACAAGCAUGUUUAUAUUUAUGAUGUGGUAUGUACUUCUGUACUUUGUUAAAUUAAUGAAAGGAAGUGAGAGUUAUGUUAAUAUUUUGAAGAUAAAUUAUAUAUUUAAUUUUGUACUACAAAUUCUUACAUAUAAUGUGAGGAACACAAGGUGCUUUAAUUGUAGCUUCAACACUUCAGAUUAUCGUAGGCUUCAGUGGCCUUUGGCUUAAUGUCACUAGGUUACUUAUGAAUCUCUAGAAUGCAUUCCAUUUAUACCAACCUACAAUUUUUCUGUUUAUAGAUAUUUAUUUAUUUGUUUAUUUUUGUACAAUUCAGAUUUAUGAGUCCACUAUCAACAGUUCCUUUACUUGCCUUAUCCGGAUUUGGUCUCUAUGAGUUAGGCUUUCUCAGCGUUGCCAAGUGUAUUGAGAUUGGGCUUCCACAGAUAAUUCUGUUGAUAAUCUUUUCCCAGAUAUUGAAAUGUGGUGACUGGAAACCAAGUUGCAAAACUCUCCUUUCAUAACGCUGUGAUUAGAGUCUGUAGCUAGCAUUCAUACUAACCUAUGCUUGUGAGCUCUUCUUGGAAUUGUCAAAUUGCUAGAUGGUAAUUCUAGGGCUCUGAUGCAGUUCAUUCCGUUGUUGACAAUAAACGCCAUCGAAUGCAACAACCUGAGCAAAGGACAAUUCCCUUAUGCUUUGCGCUCUUCCUCGAAUUUCUGUUUGCUAUUUAUAAUUUCUCAUGGCAUUUAUAAUUUCUCAUGACAUGAUACAAAUUCUUUGAUAAGAAGAGACACUGACAAAGGGGAUCAACAUAAUGUAUUGUGAGAUCUUUAUCAUCUAGACUACCCUAGCUGAUGAGAGCUUAAUUCCUUUGUAAAGAAUAUUUAAGUAUGAUUAUAGUGUAAAUAUUUGUAUGCAUCUUCUCGGUGCAGUCAGCUUACAUUGCCAUGUAAAAAGACUGAAACAAUGUAAGAAACCUGAGAAUCCAAAUCAUAGUUUUUUGCUUUCUGUUAUUCUAUUGAAA